AACCAAUAAAAUCAAUCAUCUUCAGUUUUGAAAGACUUAGGCAACUAAGUUUUUCUUCGUGACUUCACGAAGGGCCUAUAGCUCAGUUGGUUAGAGCACACGCCUGAUAAGCGUGAGGUCGGUGGUUCAAGUCCAUUUAGGCCCACCAGAGUUAUAGGUUUCGUAAGAACACAAAUUCUUUGAAAAUU
rnacentral:misc_RNA from 10 species